rnacentral:lncRNA from 1 species
UGGUCCAGCUCCUCUUUCACUUCCCCACCCCACUGUGGAGCACCAGCCGCCAUCCGUUUGUAUUUAUAUAGAUAAAUCGGCCAGGCUAAUUAAAGUGCUCUUGCUGCAGCAAGAGAAUUAAUAAAAGGACUUGGAAUGGAGCCGACCUAAAGCUGGGGCGCUGGGAGUCAGAGCUGAACCCUCAGCAGCAAAGGAGGCCAGAAGGGCCAGAAGGCACGUGAGCCACCCCACUCCCUCUUAGGGGGAGGGGCCAGCAGACACCUCCUCCUACAUCAUGCCUGCCUAGAAGCUGCCGUGCUCCCGCCUUGAUGAUGUCCUUAUAAGAGUUGCCUUGGUCAUGGUGCCUGUUCACAGCAAUGGAAAACCUAACUAAGACAGACACAGAGGCC